GUCUCCUUAGCUCAGCUGGAUAGAGCAGCCGACUUCUAAUCGGCAGGUCGAAGGUUCGAAUCCUUCAGGGGACACCA
rnacentral:tRNA from 1 species